CUUGCCACAUCUGAUAAUUAGCUUACGUGUCAUCAAUUUCCUUCUUUCUUUGAACCCAUCUAUCACAGUUACUACUAUAUCCUGACCCCUCACACACACUCAUUCUUUCCGUUUCUCAUUCUUUGAACCCAUUCAUUCAUUAGAGAAUAAAGGGCUUUUCUAACGCUCCCCAGUUCAUAAUUGUAUUCUACGGUUUUGGCUUCCUUUUGCUGUUAGAAAAGAACAAAAGAGGGAUGAUAUAUAAUUGUUCGACCUCCGCCAACUAUGUUGUUGCUGUUCCGUCCGUUCCACUCUAUCGCUCGCUCUGCUCCUCUCCAUUUGAGGUCAGUUUUCUCCAUCCUCCUUUCAACUAUUAUGUUCUACUUCUUCCAAUUACAGAGAUCUGCUCAUUGCACAGCUAAACCGCAUGUUUCCGAGGCUCACUCAUGGCUAGAGUACAAAAGAGAAAUUGGGACAAGGUGCACCGUGCAUGUUCCAUGGGUCAGCUUAAACCCACUGCUGAUGCUGUCUUUUACAAGGUAUGAGUGUGUUUUUUCAUUUUCUUUUCAUGCUAAUGAAUACAUCCAUCCAUUUGGUUAAGAAUAAAACUACCUCAGUCCUAUCCAAAAUAUAUAUUAAGUGAAGGUUUGACAUGUUUCUUAUAUUUACCUGUUAGAAAUGUGUUCUACUCUUCUUUUUAUAGUAUCAAUUUAACCUGAAGCUUCACAGUGAUUUGCGAAAAUUGGUCGUGCAGAAUUCAGUUAUCAGGUUUUCCUUUCAUGUAUUUCUUCCUGCAAUAUUUUGGAAUGAUUAUCUCCUCUAAUUACAAUAAUUUGAACUUUCUUUCUGCUGUAGAAAAAUGUUCACUGCAAGACUAUUUUGAAUUUCGAAUUCAGUGUUUCCCUUUGUCUGGAAGUUAACUUAUACCAAAAUGACUAGAUAUUUUUUCUACCUAUACUUUGAAGUGGAUGAAAAAGUGCAUAGCUCGCUAUAUCAAAUUAAGCCACAAUCUUUCUAAUAAGAAUGUUACCCAAAUUAUUCAGUUUUUCCAUUCUUAGAUUUGCAAAGAUGAUGCAAUCACAGUCAGCAAUCUACUGUGAAAGGCAUACCAAUGGUACAAUGUACAUGUAUGAUGAAUUGAUGAUCAGGUACAGGUCUGAUGAAAUUCUGUCGCCUACUCUGGGCUUUGGUCUAUUUCAUUAUAGAUUCAUGAAGAAAUGAACUUGUGUGGAAGAGAGCCUGAUUGCAUAUGUGUUCCAUAGUUAAUUGUUUAUUUCAACUUUUUAGAUAAUUUUAUUUAAUGUAUAUAUUUCUGGUACUUUUUCACGGCUUUUGUUAACCAACCUCUCCAAUGACAUCUUGUGUACAUGAUAAAACCAAGUUUAGGAGAUUCAUCAAACAAACUGCUCAAAUUUCACAGUAGGACAUGUAUACACUAUUUGUUCUAAGAUUUCGACUUGUAUGUGUAUUGUUAAUAUCUUGACUAUUUUUAAGAUGAAUCUUUUUAAAUAU